UCCUGCACAGGAGAGUAUGUGGGAACAAUAAUCUAUCGAGGCAGGAGGAGUUUGGAUUAGAGCAUUCUGAUGUCAUUUCUGUUGACAAACCUACCAGGCAUCCAAAGCAUCCAUCAUCCUCUACAGUUGGACGAUCAGCUGCAGGAACCAGACCAGAAACCCCUCCUCCCUUACUGCAUAACUCACAGAACUUCUCUUUCUCUCUCUCUCUGGGUGUCUGGACUGGAAGUCAAUUGUUUCACACAAACCAUAACAUGAUAUGUCUGCUGUCAACUGGUUCACUGAUAAUGCUUUACGUCGAGGUUCCCACAAGAAGCAUUACAAAAUGCAUCAAGUAAUGAGGAAAAAAUGUGUUUAUGUUAAACUGCAGUGCAGUGAAAAGCUCAGAGGUUGUUUAUGUAAUGUAAUGAUUUAUGUUUUGCGCUUCCUUGAACAUUUACCAUAUACCUUAAGCACUGACACAAGUCAUAUUAUGUGCUAUAGACUCUAUUACUGUUAACUAAGGCAUUUCAUUUUGUAUUGUUAAUGGAACCUAAAUGUAAAGCACUCUUGAUUCAGUUAAGACUUUAGAAAGUGAUAAAAAAAACAAGACAUAAAGAACAUUUCUGAUCCUAUUUUAGAAGAAAAUCUGGUAGUACAAGUUAGAAAUUAUCAUUAUAUGUUGCGAGUAGCUUAUAGAUAUAUAUUAUUAUUAUUAUUAUUAUUAUAUAUAUAAAGUGUCUUAUUUUUCAUUGUGGUAUCUGCCAAUGAGACACAGGGUCCAAUUAACUCUAAACCCAUGUCAUUUUGAUGAGGUAAAUCCCAUAUGGAUUAAAAUUUUAAUUAAAUUGAGUGCAAAGCAUUGUUGUUAGGAUAAAACUAAACUUCAUCAAAAUAUUAAUAUCACAUUUCAACAUUGGCCUAUACAAUUGCCACACAUUAAUACUAAAACUGAAUUUGUUGCUUUAAGAAACUUUAAAAUGUCCAAUCUAAUUGAACUUGUGACAAAACCCAUACAUUUUUACUGUAAAUAGAUUUGGUUUCCCCUCUGAUCAAAUAUACAAAUUGAAUGAUACAAAUUGAGGGAUUAGCUUUUGUUAGUUUGAUGAAUUUCAAUUUGAUACAUUUCAUACAUGCUCUAGCCCUUUCCCCAAAGUUCUGUACCUCCACUGGUACUGUUCUGAGCUGUGAUACGUAUAUACCAUCAAGAUUACAGAGUAGAACACUGCUUCCUGUAAGACCUGUGCAGCCCAGUUUCAUCACCAGAGGAUGUUAAAUAAACAACAGUAA